rnacentral:rRNA from 1 species
CGGGUGAGUAACGCGUGAGGAACCUGCCUCAAAGAGGGGGGAAACAGUUGGAAACGACUGCUAAUACCGCAUAAGCCCACGGCUCGGCAUCGAGCAGAGGGAAAAGGAGUGAUCCGCUUUGAGAUGGCCUCGCGUCCGAUUAGCUAGUUGGUGAGGUAACGGCCCACCAAGGCAACGAUCGGUAGCCGGACUGAGAGGUUGAACGGCCACAUUGGGACUGAGACACGGCCCAG